GUGCAGUGAAAAAAGAUUUUUGUCAGUAAAAUGCUCUCUAUGGAAUCAUGAAUAAAACCAGACUUUCCUCAACCAGCUUGAGGAAAAUGAGGUUCCUUCAUGUGCCAGGGGAAGCCCAGGUGCCCUCCUGGCAGCACAGUGUAGAGGUUUGGAGCCCUGGUGCCAGCCCCAGAUGUGAAAGCUGUCCCUGCAAGGCAGACACAGGCACAGCACACGUCUCUUCCUGACCGCAGAGGCUCCAGCUUGGCUCAGUCACCUGCAGCCUGGGCAGAAGCAUUUCUUCUUUACCUGGACUUCAGCAGGGAGUCAGCAACCAUCAGGUGGUGGGACAAAGGUGAUGGCACUCUGGAUUGGAAAAAAGGCACAAAGAAAACCUUUUUGCCUUCCAUCAAAUCACUGCUGAGCCAGUUGAUCGAUUUCAGUCGAGUGGGACAGAAGGAGAGAGCUGAGAUACGAAGUUUAGGAAGAACACAGGUUCUCCAGUGUGUCCAAGGGGCCUGGAGGAGUGCUUUUACCAGUGAAGAUUGUCGAUAA
rnacentral:lncRNA from 1 species